CCUACGGGCGGCAGCAGUGGGGAAUAUUGCACAAUGGGCGCAAGCCUGAUGCAGCCAUGCCGCGUGUAUGAAGAAGGCCUUCGGGUUGUAAAGUACUUUCAGUCGUGAGGAAGGCGGCGUCGUUAAUAGCGGCGUUGUUUGACGUUAGCGACAGAAGAAGCACCGGCUAACUCCGUGCCAGCAGCCGCGGUAAUACGGAGGGUGCGAGCGUUAAUCGGAAUUACUGGGCGUAAAGCGCAUGCAGGUGGUUUGUUAAGUCAGAUGUGAAAGCCCCGGGCUCAACCUGGGAACCGCAUUUCGAACUGGCAAACUAGAGUCUUGUAGAGGGGGGUAGAAUUCCAGGUGUAGCGGUGAAAUGCGUAGAGAUCUGGAGGAAUACCGGUGGCGAAGGCGGCCCCCUGGACAGAUACUGACACUCAGAUGCGAAAGCGUGGGGAGCAAACAGGAUUAGAUACCCCGGUAGUC
rnacentral:rRNA from 1 species